AUUGAACGCUGGCGGCAGGCCCAACACAUGCAAGUCGAACGGAGUGGCGGACGGGUGAGUAACGCGUAGGUAACUGCCUCAUAGCGGGGGAUAACUAUUGGAAACGAUAGCUAAUACCUCAUACUGUAAGAAGGAUCUGCGUUGUAUUAGCUAGUUGGUGAGGUAAAGGCUAACUAAGGCGACGAUACAUAGCCGACCUGAGAGGCGAAUCGGCCACACGUGGACUGAGACACGGCCCAAACUCCAACGGGAGGCAGCAGUAGGGAAUCUUCUGCAAUGGACGGAAGUCUGACCGAGCAGCGCCGCGUGAGUGAAGAAGGUUUUCGGAUCGUAAAACUCUGUUGUUAGAGAAGCAGUAUCUAACCAGAAAACCACGGCUAACUACGUGCCAGCAGCCGCGGUAAUAC
rnacentral:rRNA from 1 species